AAGAACGAACGCUGGCGGCAUGCCUAACACAUGCAAGUCGAACGAAGGCUUCGGCCUUUAGUGGCGCGACGGGUGCGUAACGCGUGGGAAAUCUGCCCUUGGGGUUCGGAAAUAACUCAGAAGUAAAUUUGAGCUAAUACCGGAUGAUGACGUAAGUCCAAAGUAUUUAUCCGCCCAAGGAUGAGCCCGCGUAAGAUUAGCUAGUUGGUGGGGUAAAGGCCUACCAAGGCGACGAUCUUUAGCUGGUCUGAGAGGAUGACCAGCCACACUGGGACUGAGACACGGCCCAGACUCCUACGGGAGGCAGCAGUGGGGAAUAUUGGACAAUGGGCGAAAGCCUGAUCCAGCAAUGCCGCGUGAGUGAUGAAGGCCUUAGGGUUGUAAAGCUCUUUUACCAGGGAUGAUAAUGACAGUACCUGGAGAAUAAGCUCCGGCUAACUCCGUG
rnacentral:rRNA from 1 species